ACAAGAUUAGCUGUGGCAGCUCUAAAUAAACAGGUUUCCCACCACGUUUUAGCCCCUAUUGCCUCUCUAAUGCUAAAUUAGUUGCCAUAUCCUCAGCAUUCAGUGUUCAUCUAAUGACUUCCUUUUUAUCAUAACAUCUGGUGUUCCCAUUUGAUAGUGUAUUAUAAUUUUCUCAGUAGAGUAAGUAGAUUUUCAUUCAGGAAUCAUUCAACAAAGAACACAUUAUGUUGCUUGUGGUAGCAUAACCCCAAAUCUCUUAAGAGAUGUUGAAUAUGUUUAAAAAGUUCAGUCACUGAAGUUCAGUCUUUGGUCACCUUGUAUAUUUAUAUUUCCCUUUUUACUUUUCACACAAAUAAAAGUCCAUCCAAACAUUGCAUUUACUUUAAAAUAUAUAUUUUAAAGAAUGCCUCCUUCUUUGGUUCACUGCAAUUCCAGUGUCUGUGUUUUGACAAGAGCAAUUUGCUGCCUCUUGUCUAAAUAAUGCUUUCCUCCACCCAGGCCAUUCCUUAGGAAAUGCUGGCUAAUCAAGCUCAAGGUCUGGUAGCAAAACAGGUGAAAGAAAAAUUGAGAUUUUUUCUUCAGAGGUGGGAAAAUAGGCACAGUAUAAUGCAAAAUGCCUGAGCUGACACUAAUCCAAAAGAGGCUGCAACCAAACUAAGAGUUCUGUAAAUAUUUGCACUUGAGUUCCUUUGAUUUAGGCAUGAUCGAAGAUACAUUUUUUGAAAAGAAUCUGUAACGUUCUCAUUGCUGAGUUCACCUUGCCUCUGUGGGAUGAACAUGCCAGAGAGAAAUUAGCAGAUGACAUCUUUUUGAGUGCUUGCAAUCAUUUCUGCAAAGAAGCAAAGCGUAUGAUGGUAGACAAAUAACCAUAUAAAGACACGGUGAGAAAAGUGGCAGAACAGUAAGAUGGUCUUCCUUGGAAGAUUUUUUUAAUGAAAAAGGAACAGGAAUAAUAUUCUGACUGAAGCUGCCCAAAGGAACAGGAAUAUUGAGUAUCUAUGAACUUAAAAUAUUAAACACAUGUCUUAUUUGAAGUAACAGAACGGCCCACAAUUGAGUAUGAGAAAUGGCACGGUUCUGAUUGAAAGAGUACAGAAGCUGACAAUGAGCAAAAUUUGGGAAAUGCCUUGAGAUUUUAUGCCUGGCAAAAGGUACACAGAUCUGACUUUUUCUUCAGCAGAUCACUGGGAAACGUAUGAGGAUGAUAAAAAACAUUUAGGGUAUGUUUGUUGAUUUAAAGAAAGUAUAUGAUAUCAUGAGUAGCUUGAAUUAUAGAAGGUUUUAGACGAAUAUGGAGUCGAAGAUUGGUUGCUGACUGUGAUAAGUAUGGCAAAUCAUGGAUGUAAAACAUGCAU